GGCGACGUAGCCAAGUGGUCAGGCAAUGGUUUGCAAAACCAUCAUACGCCGGUUCGAAUCCGGCCGUCGCCUCCA
rnacentral:tRNA from 1 species